UACGAAGGGGGCUAGCGUUGUUCGGAAUUACUGGGCGUAAAGCGCACGUAGGCGGCCUAUUAAGUCAGGUGUGAAAUCCCGGGGCUCAACCCCGGAACUGCCUUUGAUACUGGUAGUCUCGAGUCCGGAAGAGGUGAGUGGAAUUCCGAGUGUAGAGGUGAAAUUCGUAGAUAUUCGGAGGAACACCAGUGGCGAAGGCGGCUCACUGGUCCGGUACUGACGCUGAGGUGCGAAAGCGUGGGGAGCAAACAGG
rnacentral:rRNA from 1 species